GAAAGGGAGCACACAAUUCCUGAACAGGCGGAAUAUUUUGAAGUUGGAACAGUUUGAAUCGGAUGAAACAUUUUGUGGGAGUUGUGGAACUUUUCAAUAGGAAUUGCAUGGAGAUUUGGGAAUUUCGGGAAAAGCGGGAAUUUUUAACAAUGGAUAAUUCAUUUUGAAUGGGAAAAAUGUCCCUAAAGACUGGGAAUUCUUGGAAAUCUGGGAUUUGUUUAAUUUUUUUAUUGAUGUGGAAAGGGAGCACACAAUUCCUGAACAGGCAGAAUAUUUUGAAGUUGGAACGGUUUGAAUAGGAUGAAACAUUUUGUGGGAGUUGUGGAACUUUUCAAUAGGAAUUGCAUGGAGAUUUGGGAAUUUCGGGAAAAGCGGGAAUUUUUAACAAUGGAUAAUUCAUUUUGAAUGGGAAAAAUGUCCCUAAAGACUGGGAAUUCUUGGAAAUCUGGGGGUAAAAAUGUUAUAGAUGGUGAAAGGGAGCACACAAUUCCUGAACAGGCGGAAUAUUUUGAAGUUGGAACGGUUUGAAUCGGAUGAAACAUUUUGUGGGAGUUGUGGAACUUUUCAAUAGGAAUUGCAUGGAAAUUUGGGAAUUUCGGGAAAAGCGGGAAUUUUUAACAAUGGAUAAUUCAUUUUGAAUGGGAAAAAUGUCCCUAAAGACUGGGAAUUCUUGGAAAUCUGGGAUUUGUUUUAUUUUUUAUUGAUGUGGAAAGGGAGCACACAAUUCCUGAACAGGUGGAAUAUUUUGAAGUUUGAAUAGGAUAAAAAAAAGUGUGGGAGUUGUGGAACUUUGAGAAAUGUCCCAUUGAUUUCAGUGGAAAUUUCGGGAAAAGCGGGACUUUAAAAAAAAAAUCUGAAUGUUCUGAAUGAGUUGAAAUGGUUGGUGUUGGAAUUUUUCAAAUCGGUCGAGAAAUGUUGAAGUAAUAACAUUUUUAAUUGAGAAAUGGUAUUAUGGAAUUUCGGGAAAACUGGGAAUUUUUCCAGUUAAAAAAAAAAAGUAUGUCUUUUGUCCUGGUUAAGAAGAAUGUUUUGACGGUGGAUCGGUUGAAGUGGGUUGAAAAAUGUGGAAGGAGUAGUCGACAGAAAAAAGGGUGAAAGAGGGUUUUAAAAAACAGGGAGUUCUGGGAAUUCCUGGAAUUUUUUUGAACUUGGAAAAUGAUAGUUUGAACGUCCAGGAUUAGUGGAAUAUGUUGAAGGUGGAAUGGUUUGAAUUGGUUGAAAAAUGUGGAAAUUGUGGAAGUUUUAACAAUGGAUAAUUCAUUUUGAAUGGGGAAAAUGUCCCUAAAGACUGGGAAUUCUUGGAAAUCUGGGAUUUGUUUUAUUUUUUAUUGAUGUGGAAAGGGAGCACACAAUUCCUGAACAGGCGGAAUAUUUUGAAGUUGGAACGGUUUGAAUCGGAUGAAACAUUUUGUGGGAGUUGUGGAACUUUUCAAUAAGAAUUGCAUGGAAAUUUGAGAAUUUCGGGAAAAGCGGGAAUUUUUGGGAAAAUGUUAAAAAAUGUGAAUGUUCUGAAUGAGUGGUUGGUGUUGGAAUUUUUCAAAUCGGUUGAAAAAUGUUGAAAUAGUAACAUAUUUAAUUGAGAAAUGGUAUUAAGGAAUUCACCACCAAUCGGGAAUUUUUCCAGUUCAAAAAACAACUUUGUUUUUUUUUUGUCUUGAUUAAGAGGAAUGAUGAGCUGGUGACUUGUUCAGGGUGUACACCGCCUUCCGCCCGAAUGCAGCUGAGAUAGGCUCCAGCACCCCCCGCGACCCCAAAAGGGACAAGCGGUAGGAAAUGGAUGGAUUUGACAGUGAAACGGUUGAAGUGGGAUGAAAAGUGUGGAAGGAAUAGUCGACAGAAAAAAGGGUGGAAAUAAGGCUUUGGAAAAGCAGGAAUUCUGGAAAAUCCUGGAAUUUUUUUGAACUUGAAAAAAGGAUAGUUUGAAUUUCCAGGAUGGUGUAAUGAGUUUUAAGGUAGAAUGGUUUGAAUCGGUAGAAAAAUGUGGAAAUGGUGAAAGUUUGAAAAAUGGCCAGUUCACUCUGAAUGGGAAAAAUGUCCCGGAAAACCUGCAAUUUUGGGGAAAUCGGGAAUUUUUUUAAAUUUGUCAAGGGAAAGCCCGAGAUUCCCGAAUAGCCUGAACAGUUCGAAGUUGGAACGCUUUGAAUUGGGGGGUAAAUGUGGAAGGUAGAGCGCGCCAAAAUCUGGGGAAGAAGAAUAAAUAGAUGAAUUUUGGUGUAGAAACCAUAUGUCUGUAUGUCUAUAACAUACAGAUAAACACAUUGAAUAUGGUUCAACGAGUUGGAGACAAUGCGGAUGUUUCCCAGCAGGGGGCAAAAGGGGAUAACUUGUCUUUGGAGAGAUCCUUGACCUAGCUGAGAUGUUUGAAUUUCCAGGAAAAACAGAAUUUGGUUUGGAACUUGGGAAAGUGUUAGUUGGAUGAGUGGAAUGUGUUGAUGUUGGAAUGGUUUUAAUAGGUUGAAAAAUGUGGGAAUUGUGGAAGUUUAAAAAAUGGACAAUUCAUUUUGAAUGGGGAAAAUCUCCCUGAAAACUGUGAAUUCUUGGAAAUCUGGGAAUUUAAAAAAAAAUUAUUGAAGGAGAGCACACAAUUCCUGAACAGGCUGAAUAUUUUGGAAAGGUUUGAAUCGGAUAAAAAAAUGUGGGAGUAGUGGAACUUUGAAAAAUGUCCCAUUGAUUUCAAUAGGAAUUGCAUGGAAAUUUCGGUAAAAGAGGGAAUUUUUUGGAAAAUGUUAAAAAAUGUGAACGUUCUGAAUGAGUGGUUGGUGUUGGAAUUUUUCAAAUCGGUUGAAAAAUGUUGAAGUAGUAACAUUUUUAAUUGAGAAAUGGAAUUAAGGAAUUCCUGGAAUUUCGGGAAAACCGAGAGUUUUUCCAGUUCAAAAAACAACUUAGUUUUUUUGUCCUGAUUAAGAGGAAUGUUUUGACGGUGGAACGGUUGAAGUGGGUUGAGAAAUGUGGAAGGAGUAGUCCUUUGGAAAAGCAGGAAUUCUGGAAAAUCCUGGAAUUUUUUUGAACUUGAAAAAAAAAAAUUGUUUGAAUUUCCAGCAUGGUGUAAUGUGUUUUAAGGUGGAAUGGUAUGUAUCGCUAGAAAAUAGUGGAAAUGGUGAAAGUUUGAAAAAUGGCCACUUCACUCUGAAUGGGAAAAAUGUCCCGGAAAACCUGCAAUUAUGGGGAAAUCUGGGAGUUUUUGGAAUUUGUCAAGGGAAAGCUCGCGAUUCCCAAAUAGGCUGAAGAGUUCGAAGUUGGAACGCUUUGAAUCGGGUGAAAAAUGUGGAAGGUAGAGCGCGCCAAAAUCUGGAGAAGAAGAAUAAAUAGAUGAAUUUUGGUGUAGAAACCAUAUGUCUGUAUGUUAUUGUGGGAAUACUUUGGAUCAUUUUUCCAGUUCAAAAAACAACUUUUUUUUUUUUUUUUGUCUUGAUUAAGAGGAAUGAUGAGCUGGCGACUUGUUCAGGGUGUACCCCGCCUUCCGCCCGAAUGCAGCUGAGAUAGGCUCCAGCACCCCCCGCUACCCCGAAAGGGACAAGCGGUAGGAAAUGGAUGGAUGGAUGGAUGGAUUUGACAGUGAAACAAUUGAAGUGGGAUGAAAAGUGUGGAAGGAAUAGUCGACAGAAAAAAGGGUGGAAAUAAGGCUUUGGAAAAUCAGGAAUUCUGGAAAAUCCUGGAAUUUUUUUUAACUUGAAAAAAGGAUAGUUUGAAUUUCCAGGAUGGUGUAAUGAGUUUUAAGGUGGAAUGGUUUGAAUCGGUAGAAAAAUGUGGAAAUGGUGAAAGUUUGAAAAAUGGCCAGUUCACUCUGAAUGGGGAAAAAUGUCCCGGAAAACCUGCAAUUUUGGGGAAAUCGGGAAUUUUUUGAAAUUUGUCAAGGGAAAGCCCGAGAUUCCCGAAUAGGCUGAACAGUUUGAAGUUGGAACGCUUUGAAUCGGGUGGAAGGUAGAGCGUGCCAAAAUUUCGAAAAGAAGAAUAAAUAGAUGAAUUUUAGUGGAGAAACCAUAUGUCUGUAUGUCUAUAACAUACAUAUAAACACAUUGAAUAUGGUUCAACGAGUUGGAGACAAUGCGGAUGUUUCCCAGCAGGGGGCAAAAGGGGAUAACUUGUCUUUGGAGAGAUCCUUGACCUAUCUGAGAUGUUUGAAUUUCCAGGAAAAACAGAAUUUGGUUUGGAACUUGGGAAAGUGUUAGUUGGAUGAGUGGAAUGUGUUGAUGUUGGAAUGGUUUGAAUAGGUUGAAAAAUGUGGGAAUUGUGGAAGUUUAAAAAAUGGACAAUUCAUUUUGAAUGGGGAAAAUCUCCCUGAAAACUGUGAAUUCUUGGAAAUCUGGGAAUUUAAAAAAAAAUUAUUGAAGGAGAGCACACAAUUCCUGAACAGGCUGAAUAUUUUGGAAAGGUUUGAAUCGGAUAAAAUAUUGUGGGAGUAGUGGAACUUUGAAAAAUGUCCCAUUGAUUUCAAUAGGAAUUGCAUGGAAAUUUCGGUAAAAGCGGGAAUUUUUUGGAAAAUGUUAAAAAAUGUGAACGUUCUGAAUGAGUGGUUGGUGUAGGAAUUUUUCAAAUCGGUUGAAAAUUGUUGAAAUAGUAACAUUUUUAAUUGAGAAAUGGUAUUAAGGAAUUCACCACCAACCGGGAAUUUUUCCAGUUCAAAAACAACUUUGUUUUUUUUUGUCCUGAUUAAGAGGAAUGAUGAGCUGGCGACUUGUCCAGGGUGUACCCCGCCUUCCGUUUGAAUGCAGCUGAGAUAGGCUCCAGCACCCCCCGCGACCCCAAAAGGGCCAAGCGGUAGGAAAUGGAUGGAUGGAUGGAUGGAUUUGACGGUGAAACGGUUGAAGUGGGACGAAAAGUGUGGAAGGAGUAGUCGACAGAAAAAAGAGUGGAAAUAAGGCUUUGGAAAAGCAGGAAUUCAGGAAAAUCCUGGAAUUUUUUUUAACUUAAAAAAAGGAUAGUUUGAAUUUCCAGGAUGGUGUAAUGAGUUUUAAGGUAGAAUGGUUUGAACCGGUAGAAAAAUGUGGAAAUGGUGAAAGUUUGAAAAAUGGCCAGUUCACUCUGAAUGGGGAAAAAUGUCCCGGAAAACCUGCAAUUUUGGGGAAAUCGGGAAUUUUUUGAAAUUUGUCAAGGAAAAGCCCGAGAUUCCCGAAUAGCCUGAACAGUUUGAAGUUGGAACGCUUUGAAUCGGGUGGAAGGUAGAGCGUGCCAAAAUUUCGAGAAGAAGAAUAAAUAGAUGAAUUUUAGUGGAGAAACCAUAUGUCUGUAUGUCUAUAACAUACAUAUAAACACAUUGAAUAUGGUUCAACGAGUUGGAGACAAUGCGGAUGUUUCCCAGCAGGGGGCAAAAGGGGAUAACUUGUCUUUGGAGAGAUCCUUGACCUAUCUGAGAUGUUUGAAUUUCCAGGAAAAACAGAAUUUGCUUUGGAACUUGGGAAAGUGUUAGUUGGAUGAGUGGAAUGUGUUGAUGUUGGAAUGGUUUUAAUAGGUUGAAAAAUGUGGGAAUUGUGGAAGUUUAAAAAAUGGACAAUUCAUUUUGAAUGGGGAAAAUCUCCCUGAAAACUGUGAAUUCUUGGAAAUCCUGGAAUUUUUUAAAAAUUGUUGAAGGAGAGCACACAAUUCCUGAACAGGCUGAAUAUUUUGGAAAGGUUUGAAUCGGAUAAAAUAUUGUGGGAGUAGUGGAACUUUGAAAAAUGUCCCAUUGAUUUCAAUAAGAAUUGCAUGGAAAUUUCGGUAAAAGCGGGAAUUUUUUGGAAAA